UAUUCCCCACUGCUGCCUCCCGUAGGAGUCUGGUCCGUGUCUCAGUACCAGUGUGGGGGACCUUCCUCUCAGAACCCCUACGCAUCGUCGCCUUGGUGGGCCGUCGCCCCGCCAACUAGCUAAUGCGCCGCAUGCCCAUCCCGUACCGCCGGAGCUUUCCCCCCGGGAGGAUGCCCUCUCGGGGACUACGGGGUAUUAGACCAAAUUUCUCUGGAUUAUCCCCCUGUACGGGGCAGGUUGCAUACGUGUUACUCACCAGUGCGCCGGUCGCCAUCGGGCAUAUUGCUAUGCCCAUGCUGCCCCUCGACUUGCAUGUGUUAAGCCUGCCGCCAGCGUUCAUCCUGAGCCAA
rnacentral:rRNA from 1 species